rnacentral:lncRNA from 1 species
GUCGAUAUGUCAACUUUACUAUUGAAAGAAUUGGGGGGUGGGUAAGGAGAUGAUUGAAAGAGAAGGAGAAUGAGAGAUAAAAAGAUUUAAAAAAUAAUUAAAAAUAAGAAUAAUAAAAAAUUAUGAGUUUGUGAAGGGGCUUCAAGGAUCAAGGUUGUUGAUUAUCAUAAGAUUUAUCUGAGAAAAAAUAAUCACGUCAUGCAUCGAUAGGGUUCUAAGCUAGUAUAUAUAUUAAAAUGGAGGCUUUUCGAUGAAGAAGCCUCCAUUUGCCGCACGGGGUGUUG